GAUGAACGCUGGCGGCGUGCCUAAUACAUGCAAGUCGAGCGAACAGAUGAGGAGCUUGCUCCUCUGACGUUAGCGGCGGACGGGUGAGUAACACGUGGAUAACCUACCUAUAAGACUGGGAUAACUUCGGGAAACCGGAGCUAAUACCGGAUAAUAUAUUGAACCGCAUGGUUCAAUAGUGAAAGACGGUUUUGCUGUCACUUAUAGAUGGAUCCGCGCCGCAUUAGCUAGUUGGUAAGGUAACGGCUUACCAAGGCAACGAUGCGUAGCCGACCUGAGAGGGUGAUCGGCCACACUGGAACUGAGACACGGUCCAGACUCCUACGGGAGGCAGCAGUAGGGAAUCUUCCGCAAUGGGCGAAAGCCUGACGGAGCAAUGCCGCGUGAGUGAUGAAGGUCUUCGGAUCGUAAAGCUCUGUUAUUAGGGAAGAACAAAUGUGUAAUUAACUAUGCACGUCUUGACGGUACCUAAUCAGAAAGCCACGGCUAACUACGUG
rnacentral:rRNA from 1 species